GGCCCCGUUCUGAACCAGUUGACCAAAAAUCCCGAGCAAAGUGCUCCAGUGAGAGGAGGGAGAGACAGCUGUCAGCUGGAGCUGCUGAAUGCAGCGCGAAGGAUGGAAGGAUGCUGAUUUGAGCUGGGCGUGAUUUGGAAGAUCCAGGGAAGGACAUUCCAGGUCCCGGACAGCCAAAGCGAAGUCUCACAGGAUUCUGCUCUGCCCUUCAGCUCUGCAUCUGAUGGCCAGCAUCUGGGGGAUCUUGUUUUCCUAAGAUUGUUGGAAUUCCUGUUAUCAUCAUAUGAAGUCUUCCCCUGGCGUCAUCAGCUUCCUGUAUCCAGGAGCUGUUCUAACUAAGGAACCUCAGUGCAGACACCUGAAUAUCACAUUCUCUGCCUGAAGAAUUCUCCGAUCUUGGUAGAGUGUGGACCCUUUUGAGAUCUUGCUUUUUGGCAUGAUCAUUUCUGACAUACCUCUGUGUCCAUUGGUGUAAUUUUUUGUUUUUGGAAACAGACUGAGCUGCUUCUGCCCAGAGCCAUCAAGGCUGUACCUGAAACUGUCUCCUGACCUUGGAGUGCUCAAGUUCACAUGGACUCUCCACUUUGUUCUGGAGAUAUGUGGGCUCCGGCUCAGGCAGCAUCAAGACAAGCCAGGCCUGCAGACCUCCCCAAGGGACAAAAGCCCUCCUCCUCACCCACGAAGGUGGGCUCAUCCUGCUGGAUAUGAGACCUUCCCUUUACCUCUGCUAUCUUUUCUCUGUGUAAGAUUCACAUGACUCCCGCUCAGUCAUGGAUGUAGGCACGCCUCCGUGCCCGGGACCUCCACCGUCUCUUCCCCAGUCCUGCUGCAACUGCUCCGUAGCCCAGGCCCCACGACAUAACCGUCCCUGUGGCAGCAGCUGGUAGAUAAGACCAAAGGAUAUGACCAAAGAUUGGAAGGGUUAGGCCUCUCAGGAGGAUUGCCCCAGGGGCACGAUGCUGGCAGGUUAUGAGAACGAGAUGCCUCAGGGUAAGGACCCAGCCUUCACUUACUAAUCCUGUAAAUGAUGGAGAAGGGAAAUCCAGCGUUUAAAAAUAUCCCACCACGGAGUUCCCGUUGUGGCACAAUGGGAUUGGCAGCAUCUAGGGAGCUCUGGGACACAGGUUCUGUCCCAGCCCAGCACAGUGGGUUAAGAAUCCAGGGUUGCCAAAGCUGUGGCUUAGGUUGCAACUGCAGCUCAGAUCGGAUCCCUGGCCUGGGAACUCCAUAUGCUGCAAGGCAGCCAAAAAAAGAAAACAAACAAAAACUAUAUAUAUAUGUGUGUGUGUGUGUACAAAUCCCACUGCUUGCUCCAUGAGUCCCCUAAAAUGAAGAUAAGACUCCAGCCAAGAAAUUAAGUUGAUUUGGGAAAAACUAAAAAUCCCUCCUUGGUGUUAUAACUUCAAGUUCAGUUUACUGUUAUUAUGUAGUGCUUUCUAGCAAUAUUUUCCCAUUUAUAUUAUUUUUAAAAGAAAUGGAAUUUCCCUGGUGGCCUAACAGGUUAAGGAUCCCGCAUUGUCACUGCUGUGGAUAAGUGACAAUGCUGUGGUGUGGGUUUGACCCUUGGCCCAGGAACUUCUGCAUACCAUGUCCAAAAAAGCCCAUUAUUGCCUUAGAGAUUUCCAAUUAUCUCUCCUGUUUGAUUAACAAAAACUGGUUAAUUAGGUUUCACUGUAUGAGCUAAGGAGUUUCAUUAUUCUGUUUGCCUAAAAUCUAAAAUUUGUACUACACAUUUGCAUAUAUAUCUCUUACAUAUAUGUAUUUGUAUAUUUG
rnacentral:lncRNA from 1 species